CAAUAGCGUAUAUUAAAGUUGUUGCAGUUAAAAAGCUCGUAGUUGGAUUUCUGGUGGGAGCGAUCGGUCUGGCGCUUAGCGCGAGUACUUGCAUCGUCUCCGGCCAUCCUUGGGGAGAGUCUGUCUGGCAUUAAGUUGUCGGGCAGAGGAUCCUCAUCGUUUACUGUGAAAAAAUUAGAGUGCUCAAAGCAGGCUUAUGCCGUUGAAUAUAUUAGCAUGGAAUAAUAAGAUAGGACUUUGGUACUAUUUUGUUGGUUUGCGCACCAAAGUAAUGAUUAAUAGGGACAGUUGGGGGUAUUCGUAUUCCGUUGUCAGAGGUGAAAUUCUUGGAUUUACGGAAGACGAACUACUGCGAAAGCAUUUACCAAGGAUGUUUUCAUUAA
rnacentral:rRNA from 1 species